UGGACCCCAUGGCGGGCAUCGGCAUCUCCAUUUACAUCAU
rnacentral:sRNA from 1 species